UGGAGCGCUUUGGCAUUGAACGGUAGGACAAUUUCUUGAAAUAUCUGAUGUGUUGUUUAUCAUGAUUAGUAACUGCCUGUGAUGAGGUGGCGACUUGUCCAGGGUGUACCCUGCCUUCCGCCCGAAUGCAGCUGAGAUAGGCUACAGCGACCCCCCGCGACCCCAAAAAGGGACAAGCGGCAUGGCCAGAGGUUCUGUUAUUGGACAGACAAGGCGAGCGGCCUAUUGCAGGGCAUUCUUCAGCCAGUCUUUAGGGUAUCCAGAAACUCAGUCCAGGCCAUGGACUGCGUCAUCAAAGAUGAACUGAAUACAGUACUGGUGCAGCUCGCGCAAUGUUUGGAACAAAACAUUUGUAAACAAUAAAAAAACAUUUUACAUUGCAGUUUUUUGCCUCAUUUUAAAGUCUUGAAGAAAUACCCAAGGUUUUUCUUUAUUAUUAUGUUCUUAUUCUAAAUAUUGUCGUUUGUCUGACCACGGGUCAU